rnacentral:rRNA from 1 species
GUCGAGCGACAGAUGAGAAGCUUGCUUCUCUGAUGUUAGCGGCGGACGGGUGAGUAACACGUGGGUAACCUACCUAUAAGACUGGGAUAACUCCGGGAAACCGGGGCUAAUACCGGAUAAUAUUUUGAACCGCAUGGUUCAAUAGUGAAAGACGGUUUCGGCUGUCACUUAUAGAUGGACCCGCGCCGUAUUAGCUAGUUGGUAAGGUAACGGCUUACCAAGGCGACGAUACGUAGCCGACCUGAGAGGGUGAUCGGCCACACUGGAACUGAGACACGGUCCAGACUCCUACGGGAGGCAGCAGUAGGGAAUCUUCCGCAAUGGGCGAAAGCCUGACGGAGCAACGCCGCGUGAGUGAUGAAGGUCUUCGGAUCGUAAAACUCUGUUGUUAGGGAAGAACAAAUUUGUUAGUAACUGAACAAGUCUUGACGGUACCUAACCAGAAAGCCACGGCUAACUACGUGCCAGCAGCCGCGGUAAUACGUAGGUGGCAAGCGUUAUCCGGAAUUAUUGGGCGUAAAGCGCGCGUAGGCGGUUUCUUAAGUCUGAUGUGAAAGCCCACGGCUCAACCGUGGAGGGUCAUUGGAAACUGGGAAACUUGAGUGCAGAAGAGGAGAGUGGAAUUCCAUGUGUAGCGGUGAAAUGCGCAGAGAUAUGGAGGAACACCAGUGGCGAAGGCGGCUCUCUGGUCUGUAACUGACGCUGAUGUGCGAAAGCGUGGGGAUCAAACAGGAUUAGAUACCCUGGUAGUCCACGCCGUAAACGAUGAGUGCUAAGUGUUAGGGGGUUUCCGCCCCUUAGUGCUGCAGCUAACGCAUUAAGCACUCCGCCUGGGGAGUACGACCGCAAGGUUGAAACUCAAAGGAAUUGACGGGGACCCGCACAAGCGGUGGAGCAUGUGGUUUAAUUCGAAGCAACGCGAAGAACCUUACCAAAUCUUGACAUCCUUUGACCGCUCUAGAGAUAGAGUCUUCCCCUUCGGGGGACAAAGUGACAGGUGGUGCAUGGUUGUCGUCAGCUCGUGUCGUGAGAUGUUGGGUUAAGUCCCGCAACGAGCGCAACCCUUAAGCUUAGUUGCCAUCAUUAAGUUGGGCACUCUAGGUUGACUGCCGGUGACAAACCGGAGGAAGGUGGGGAUGACGUCAAAUCAUCAUGCCCCUUAUGAUUUGGGCUACACACGUGCUACAAUGGAUAAUACAAAGGGCAGCGAAUCCGCGAGGCCAAGCAAAUCCCAUAAAAUUAUUCUCAGUUCGGAUUGUAGUCUGCAACUCGACUACAUGAAGCUGGAAUCGCUAGUAAUCGUAGAUCAGCAUGCUACGGUGAAUACGUUCCCGGGUCUUGUACACACCGCCCGUCACACCACGAGAGUUUGUAACACCCGAAGCCGGUGGAGUAACCU